CCCCUAGUAACUGCGAGUGAAGAGGGAAAAGCUCAAAUUUAAAAUCUGGCAGUCUCUGGCUGUCCGAGUUGUAAUUUAGAGAAGUGUUACCCGUGCUGGACCGUGUAUAAGUCUCCUGGAAUGGAGCGUCAUAGAGGGUGAGAAUCCCGUCUUUGACACGGACUCCCAGUGCAUUGUGGUACGCUCUCGAAGAGUCGAGUUGUUUGGGAAUGCAGCUCUAAAUGGGUGGUAAAUUCCAUCUAAAGCUAAAUAUUGGCGAGAGACCGAUAGCGAACAAGUACCGUGAGGGAAAGAUGAAAAGAACUUUGGAAAGAGAGUUAAACAGUACGUGAAAUUGCUGAAAGGGAAACGCUUGAAGUCAGUCGCGUUAUCCAGGGAUCAACCUUGCUUUAGUGAGGCGUACUUCCUGGAUGACGGGUCAGCAUCAGUUUUGACCGUCGGAAAAAGGCUUAGGGAAUGUGGCAUCUCCGGAUGUGUUAUAGCCCUUUGUCGUAUACGGCGGUUGGGACUGAGGAACUCAGCACGCCGCAAGGCCGGGUUUUUAACCACGUUCGUGCUUAGGAUGUUGGCAUAAUGGCUUUAAGCGACCCGUCUUGAAACACGGACCAAGGAGUCUAACAUGCUUGCGAGUGUUUGAGUGGAAAACUCGAGCGCGUAAUGAAAGUGAAAGUUGGGAUCUCUGUCGUGGAGAGCACCGACGCCCGGACCUGAUGUUUACUGACGGAUCUGCGGUAGAGCACGUAUGUUGGGACCCGAAAGAUGGUGAACUAUGCCUGAAUAGGGUGAAGCCAGAGGAAACUCUGGUGGAGGCUCGUAGCGAUUCUGACGUGCAAAUCGAUCGUCGAAUU
rnacentral:rRNA from 1 species